AAUAUUGCGCAAUGGGCGAAAGCCUGACGCAGCCAUGCCGCGUGAAUGAUGAAGGGCAAAGGAUUGUAAAAUUCUUUCACCGGGGAAGAUAAUGACGGUACCCGGAGAAGAAGACCCGGCUAACUUCGUGCCAGCAGCCGCGGUAAUACGAAGGGGGCUAGCGUUGCUCGGAAUUACUGGGCGUAAAGGGCGCGUAGGCGGACAUUUAAGUCAGGGGUGUAAACCCCGAGCUCAACUCUGGAACUGCCUUUGAUACUGGGGGUCUUGAGUGUGAGAGAGGUAUGUGGAACUCCGAGUGUAGGGGUGAAAUUCGUAGAUAUUCUGAAGAACACCAGUGGCGAAGGCGACAUACUGACUCAUUACUGGCGCUGAGGCGCGAAAGCGUAGGGAGCAAAC
rnacentral:rRNA from 1 species